UUCCACCUUCCAAGGAGCUUUGUAUUCUUGCAUCUGACUGCCUGGGACUUCCCUUAGGCAGUAAACAAAUACAUAAAGCAGGGAUAAGACUGCAUGAAUAUGUCGAAACAGCCAGUUUCCAAUGUUAGAGCCAUCCAGGCAAAUAUCAAUAUUCCAAUGGGAGCCUUUCGGCCAGGAGCAGGUCAACCCCCCAGAAGAAAAGAAUGUACUCCUGAAGUGGAGGAGGGUGUUCCUCCCACCUCGGAUGAGGAGAAGAAGCCAAUUCCAGGAGCGAAGAAACUUCCAGGACCUGCAGUCAAUCUAUCGGAAAUCCAGAAUAUUAAAAGUGAACUAAAAUAUGUCCCCAAAGCUGAACAGUAGUUGGAAGAAAAAAGUGGUAAAAGAACUCAGUGAUAUCAAAGAAUUGAAGAGGAACAAAAUAAGUAUCAAAGUGGUAAUGAUGCAUCAAUUACAAGAAAAAUAAAUGAUUAGCAAAGGCUUGAUGUGAAGAAAUAAAGAGGCAGAAGAUGGAUUCAAUAGCUCACUAAAAUUUU
rnacentral:sRNA from 1 species